GACGAACGCUGGCGGCGUGCCUAAUACAUGCAAGUAGAACGCAGUUGCGAACGGGUGAGUAACGCGUAGGUAACUGCCUGGUAGCGGGGGAUAACUAUUGGAAACGAUAGCUAAUACUGCAUACUACCAGAUGGACCUGCGUUGUAUUGGCUAGUUGGUGAGGUAACGGGUCACCAAGGGAACGAUACAUAGCCGACGUGCACGGUUGAUCGGCCAAACUGGGACUGGGAAACGGCCCAGACUUCAUCGGGAGGCAGGAGUAGGGAAUCUUCGGAAAAGGGGGGAACCCUGACCGAGCAACGCCGGGUGAGUGAAAAAGGUUUUCGGAUCGUAAAGGUCUGUUGUUAGGGGAGCGGUACUUAACCAGAAAGGGACGGCUAACUACGUGCCAGCAGCCGCGGUAAUAC
rnacentral:rRNA from 1 species